rnacentral:rRNA from 1 species
CCUUACCUACCCUUGACAUGCCUGGAACCCUGGAGAGAUCUGGGGGUGCCCGAAAGGGAGCCGGGACACAGGUGCUGCAUGGCUGUCGUCAGCUCGUGUCGUGAGAUGUUGGGUUAAGUCCCGCAACGAGCGCAACCCUUGUCACUAGUUGCUACGCGAGGGCACUCUAGUGAGACUGCCGGUGACAAACCGGAGGAAGGUGGGGAUGACGUCAAGUCCUCAUGGCCCUUAUGGGUAGGGCUUCACACGUCAUACAAUGGUCGGUACAGAGGGUUGCCAAGCCGCGAGGUGGAGCCAAUCCCAGAAAGCCGAUCGUAGUCCGGAUUGCAGUCUGCAACUCGACUGCAUGAAGUCGGAAUCGCUAGUAAUCGCGGAUCAGCAUGUCGCGGUGAAUACGUUCCCGGGUCUU